rnacentral:rRNA from 1 species
GAUGAACGCUGGCGGCGUGCCUAAUACAUGCAAGUCGAGCGAACAGACGAGGAGCUUGCUCCUCUGACGUUAGCGGCGGACGGGUGAGUAACACGUGGAUAACCUACCUAUAAGACUGGGAUAACUUCGGGAAACCGGAGCUAAUACCGGAUAAUAUAUUGAACCGCACGGUUCAAUAGUGAAAGACGGUUUUGCUGUCACUUAUAGAUGGAUCCGCGCCGCAUUAGCUAGUUGGUAAGGUAACGGCUUACCAAGGCAACGAUGCGUAGCCGACCUGAGAGGGUGAUCGGCCACACUGGAACUGGGACACGGUCCAGACUCCUACGGGAGGCAGCAGUAGGGAAUCUUCCGCAAUGGGCGAAAGCCUGACGGAGCAACGCCGCGUGAGUGAUGAAGGUCUUCGGAUCGUAAAACUCUGUUAUUAGGGAAGAACAAAUGUGUAAGUAACUAUGCACGUCUUGACGGUACCUAAUCAGAAAGCCACGGCUAACUACGUG